GUUGAAAAGGGGUGGGAUAUUUUCUUCCCUAGCAUCCCACGUACCCCACCCUUAAAGUCAAAUUGCCUUAUCUUUCUUUUGCUGCAUCUGAAGUCCAGCAACUCAUUUUCCCCUUUCUUUGUUCUUCUUUCUUCUUCCUUCCUUACACGGCAACAUCUCUCCCUUCCUUUCUCACCAAAAAUGCUAGUUUCUUUAAAGAAGAAAUUAAACAAUUAGCCUUAAGGUUUCAUCUUCAAAGUGUGUGCGUGGCGAGAAUGAGAACACGGACACUUGAGCUCCUCAUGUACAAUCUCUCGCGCCUUCUGUUAUCAGGUUCUUCCUGGAAGCAGCGAGAGUAUUAGAGGUGGCAAGAAUUCUAUGUUUUCUCAUUUUGUUAGAAUGUAGAGUUUUGUUGUAUAGCAGUUAGCUCUUUUGUUGUAUAGGAGGAAUCAAGAUGUACUUGAUCCUUUGAGCACAGAUGUAAUUCGGUACUUUAGUUUGUUUUGAACCCCAGUUGUAUGUCUUUGGGGUUAGGUUUGUAAUAAGAGUUUUGCUAAAUGUUUAGCUAUGUAAUAUUUACACGUAUACCUUAAGUUUCAGCCAAGUGGUAAUUUUCCAAGUUCAAAGGAAAUGAAAUUUCAGGGUUGCCAUCA